rnacentral:rRNA from 1 species
CAAUAGCAUAUAUUAAAGUUGUUGCAGUUAAAAAGCUCGUAGUUGGAUUUCUGGCAUGAUGCGCCUGGCCCGCCGUGAUUACGCGUGUGUGUGCUAGUGCGCGUCUGCCAUCCAUUGGCAGAAUAUGUCUACCCUUAAUUGGGCCGGAUAUGUGAUGUCAAUCUUUUACUUUGAAAAAUUAGAGUGUUUAAAGCAGGCAUUUGCUAUGAAUACAUUAGCAUGGAAUAAUAAUCUAGGACUUCGGUUCUAUUUUGUUGGUUUCUUAGAUCUGGAGUAAUGAUUGAUAGGGAUAGUUGGGGGUGGCUAGUAUUAAGGGGCCGAGAGGUGAAAUUCUUGGAUUCUCUUAAGACUAACUUAUGCGAAAGCAUUCACCAAGGAUGUCUUCUUUAAUUCAAGAACGAAAGUUAGGGGGAGUCGAAGACGAUCAGAUACCAU